rnacentral:lncRNA from 1 species
AGCUGUUAAGUUAGUGGGGGGAGGGUACGGGCAGAGCAGGCUUUGGGGACGAUGAAACAACUUCACACGUGUGUCCCUUGGAGCCAGUCCCUGUCCUGAAUACUUUUCAAAUGAAAGCAACCCCAAAGCCUGGAGAAUUGACAGUCCCCUAACUUUUGAGAUGGGGGAACCCUGGGCAAAGGGCUGCCCAAGCUCCUCAGAGCUGCUGCUGAGGAAACAGGUGGAGGGGGCUCAGCCCUUGACUCUCCCCAGCCGGAGAGAGUGGGUGGGUCACUCACUGGCCAGCAGCAAAGUAAGGCGGGAGGGGCGGGUGGGUGACUUGCUAGGAGGAAGAUUAUCCCAACUUCCCACACUGAGGCACUGCCUUUCCUACAUUCAUUUCACAAAUAUUUACUGACUGGCCCUCACCUCCCACCCUCCAUGCUCCAGCCACACUGGCCUCAGGAGGCUCCGACGCCAGGGACGCCAGGCAGCCUCGGAGGUUUGGCCCAGCUGUUCACUCCUCUACCUGGCUGCCUGGAGCGAGUCUCCGUUUGUCGACAGGGUUUCUAGCCCCGCGCCUAGCCCCGCGCCUGCCCCCGCCCCUGCCUCUUGCACUUGCACUUCCUCUGCUGCCCAGCCCUCCGAGGGCCAGAAGGUACCCUACAGACAGCGAUUUGUUCCGUCCAUUGUUUGUCUCCCGCCAGAAGGUGAGCUCGGCAGGCAGGGAGUUUGUCUGGCUUGUUCACUGCUGCGUCCCCCGUGCCUGGGACACGCAGGCCCCCACGGUGCCUCAGUGGACACUUGCAGAAAGAAGAACGAGUGCGCGAGCGCCCCCUACCGCCAGGUCCCCCGCUGGCGUUGGGUGUAGGUGCGGCCAAUGAGACCCGUGCUGCUCAGUAGGGAGUUAGUGGUCCACAGGGGAGCCUCACGAAGGCUGAGACGGUGAGCACAGGGUGGGGUCCCGGGAACCUCUAGGAGAAGCACUGCCCCUAGCCAGUGGAGGCGAGUCGGAAGAGGGGAUGUCAAAGCUGAGACCUGAAGGAUAAGCUGGUGAGGUGUAGGGGCCAAAGAACUUCUGGAUUCAAAGGCCUGGGGGCCAGAGAGGCAGGUGGGAGUGAGGGAGCUGCAGGGGUCCAGCUCAGCCACAAAAAACGUCCUACCUCCACAUUUGGCUGAGAGGCAGGGGUGCUGGGGGGGGGGCGAUGUUGAGGCAGGGAAGGGGCAGGGUCCUCUCUGACUGAGAAAGACCCCUCUGAGUGAACUGGAGUAAGGCUGAAGGCUGGGGAAGAGCUGGGCCAAGGGUCCAGGGGAAGAGGCAGAGGCCAUGGCUGGAGCUUUGGGGAUGGAGAGGAGGGAGACAAUGAAAAGAUACAGCAAGUUGGCAAAAGGGGCAGAACUUGGAGGAAAUGCAGGAGGUGAGGCAGAGGGAGGAACGAAGUUCUCCUUAGAGAUCUGGGGUCAGAUUCUAAAAGCCAGGAAAGGAGAGAGGGCCGGAGAGGAGAGAGGGCCGGAGAGGACGCCAGGGGUGGAGGAAGAGAACCAAGAGGGGACCUCUCGACCAGGACCCCAACCCUAACCUUGGCUGGUAUGUGGCGACUCCACUUAGGUCAGCAGUCCAGAUGUUCCAGAUGUUCUGGGAGCAGUGGUGGAGGGCUCUGGUCAGACCCUGGCUGUGAAGCCUUGGGCCAGCCCCUUCAUUUCUUUUCUCUUGUUUCCUCCUCUGUAAAACAGAUCCUCGGGGACACUCAGGGGCUGAGGAGUUUCAUGAAGCUCCUCAAGGGGGCCCAGAACAGGGUCUGGCUUCGCAAGUGAUGAGCAAGGAUAAGCAGGACUCAAGGCCUGGCUGGUCCAACCCUGUGUGACUGCCAGUUUUCUGCUAGGAGCCUUGCUGUCACUCUAUUUCCUCAUCUGAGAAAUGGGAAUUAAUAGGGUACCACAUGACAAAGGGCUGGGAGGGCGAGGGGCUAAGGGACACAGGAAGGCCUGACAGCAGCAGCUGUCUGCCAGCUGGUAUAGAACUGUUUCAUGAUCUACUGAGUUGCUGUCCAAAGGAAAGCUCUGCAACUAUGGAAAUGCUCUCUCUAUAUCGUCCACUAUGGUAGCCAUGAGCAUGUGUGGCUAGUGAGCACUUGCUGGGUGGUGAGUGACUGAGGAAUUGAAUUAAUUUAAUUUAAAUUAAUCUAAAUGUCACUGGCCACACGUGGCUGUGGCUGCAGUGAUUAUGGUAUUGGACAGUGUGAUUCUAACUACUGAUACGGCUGUCCCAUGUGUCUGGCUGGACCCCAGUCCUGCUUGAAACUGGUUCUGCCUGAGUCCCCAAAGCUCGGGGUCCUUCUGCUCUUAUGGGAUCCUCCAGGAACCAAGGAGAUCAGCUCUGGAGAAAUGAGCUUUACUGAGGGUAAGAGGCCCAGGAGCCAGGCCAGCUCUGCCUGUGUCAUCUGAGGCCUGCAGAAAAGGAGCUACAGGAGCUCCACUUUAGUGGAAGGGCAUACUGAGGCCUGGUGACAUCCUUGCUGUACCCAUGAACACCCAGACCCGGCACGCUCCAAGUUGGAAGCUCGAUCUCCAGGCCCCUGUAUUCUGUGUACACGCUGUGAUUCUGUGAGGCUCUGGGAUGUGUGGGCAGUGUCACACUGCUGAAUCGAAUCUACUUGGGAGAGACCUAGGGCCUGGUCUGGUAUGGGAGGUUUUCAAAACAGGUCACUGGCAAGCCUCUGGCAGGGGUGUGUGAGGUGAGUUUGCAGGUGGGAGGAAUGCAGUGCAAGCCAGUUUGACUGUGGUCUCCCUGUUUCCUUCUCCCCUUAUACCCCGGAAAGGGCAAUUUUGCAAUUCAUUUUCGACCUCAGGAUAGAACUAACCAUCUUUAUAGUUAACAUACUAACUUAUAGUUAACUGCAUAACUAACUUUAAAAAGUUGAGGGGGGGCGGGGAGAUGUACACUAGAAGUAAUAAAGAGUGGAAAACCAUUGAAACUGGAGCAGUGUCUCUCGGACAUCCGGACAUCCACGUGUGUCCAGAUACCUGGGAUCUUGCUGAAGUGCAAAUUCUGAUGGGGGUGGGGACAGUCUGGGUGCAGCUGAGGGGCCUCCUUUCCUGGGGCUGCUGGUCCUGGAGCACCCUUGCACUCCAUUUCAGGAUGAAUCACGAACUCUCCUCCUCCCUCUCCACUUCUCUGAGGAAGAGAGUGCUUAAGGGUGAGCUAGACCCUGGUGAGAACCUCAACUGCCACAAUUGCCAGCCAUGGAGCCUUGGAAAGGGAUAGCAGUGCUUGGGGCCUCAGUUUGCUCAUCUGUGAAAUGGGGAAAACAGCUAAUCUUCCUUCAGGGGUGGUGAAGACUCAUUGGUCUGAUGUCUGUGAUGGGUUCGGCGCAGUGCCUGGCACACAGACAACUCUCGCUGAAAUGAUUCUCUAACUGUGAACAUCCUCCUCCUCCUCCUCCGUGCCAUCACACCAUCAUUCUAGGAUGAUGGAGAGCUGGAAAGAGUGCUGGUGUCCUGGAAAGUUGGGUUCAAACUCUGACUUGCCACUUGCUCACUGUGGUCUCCCUCCUGUCCCUGCCAGGCUCUGUCCGUGUAAUGACACCCAGCUUGGUGGGAACUGAUGGUGACACGUCCAGUGCUGGGCACUUAGAUGACAGUGAUGUUAAAAGUUAUUUAUUCUGGGAUGCCUGGGGUAGCUCAGUGGUUUGGCGCCUGCCUUUGGCUCAGGGCGUGAUCCCAGGAUCUGGACAAGCCCAUAUCGGGCUCCUUGCAUGAAGCCUGCUUCUCCCUCUGCCUAGGUCUCUACCUCUCUCUCCCUCUCUCUCUGUCUCUCUCUGUCUCUCAUGAAUGAAUAAAUAAAUAAAAUCAUUUUUAAAAAGUUAUUUAUUCUCACUGGAUCAGAAGAACAAAUCUCUUCCUCAUUCUAUGACUCAAUCUCCCCCCUUCCCAUAUGUAAAUCUAACAUUUCUGGCUGGAUCAUUUAUCAGGGAGUGGAGGGACCAUUGAAUCACCUGAGGAAUCUGUCCCUGCCCCACCAGCUAGACAUGGACUGGACACCCUGUACCUGGCAAGGAAAGCCCACUGUGAGAAUCGAGGUGGGUGGGUCCUUUCCCCUGGGGGCAUGAACAAGACUAAGGGGCAGGGAGUCCCUGCAUUACAGGAACCCUAAUGUCUCUUUUAAAGUCUAACCUUCUGUGAGUCUACUGUUAUUAACAAUCUGAUUAUUGUUAUGAUUAGCAAUCCCAAUUUCUACUUAGAGGGCCCUAUGGAUGCACAUUCCCCUCUGGAAAGCAGUGGUCUCAGCUGGGGGAAGCAAUCUACAGGGUGCCACGCCUGGGUUUGCAGUCCCAGCUGAGCCACGUCUUGCCCAGCUGUUGACAUUGGGCAAGGGGCCUCAUCAUUCUGAGCCUCAGUGUCCCUGUAUGUCCAACUAGGGAUGACAACUGUGCUUCCCUUGGAGGUCCACCGUGAGGAGUAAAUGGGACAGAUCCACACAGAAUGCCAGCACACAGCCUGGCUCAUGGUAAGCUCUCGAUGGAUGUUAGCUCUUAUCAUCUUGAGCCAUGUGUUUGAGGGUUCUAGGCAAGAGGAGGGCAAAUCUCAGCAUUUCCUGCCUGGGAUUUGCCCCUCGGGAGAGCUGGGGCUGGCACUGCUCUCUGACCUUUGUCUCCAUGUUUGAACAAGAUGCUCCAAAGCCUAAGUUCAGCUCCCCAGGCAGGAGAGUGGGCUGGGGGCUUCGUUGGGGAAACAGCUCAGAUGGGAAGGGAGUGGCCUGGGCUGCUGGCCCAGCUCCACCUCCCUCCCUCUCUCCUCCUCUUCUGGGUCAUAUACACGCUUCCACUUCCUACUGGGCCCAGCAUUCUCACACUUGGCAGCCCUCUUGGGGACCCAGUGGUCCCCUGGGAUGGACUCCUGCCUGACCCCCAACUGCAGGGUCCCUUCCCAGCCCAUCUCCCAGGCCUCCUAUGCAGCCCCUCCGCCUCCACCUGCCAUGACAACAGUUGCGCGUGUGGGUUUCCAGGCAACAAGGGGGCAUUUUGCCACUGUUCUUGCUCUUUUGCCACUCCCCUGUCUGGCAGAGCCACGCUACUCUCUGAGACCUGUAAGGGAAGGGAUAGGGGCUUCUGUUCAGUGAGGAUGGAGGGGCCCUAAACUCAGAGAUGAGGAGGUGUCCACACCACCAGAGAGGAAAUGAAAAUGCACUCCUACCGCCUGAAAGGGUGAAGCUGGAGGAACUAAUGCUGGGCCCAACCACUGUAAUGGCCCAACAGCUACCCUUGUCAUCUGCACCCCGACCUGGAGGUGGGGCCAAAUGCAGCCCCUCUGAGAACAGAGCCCCAGGCCUGUCACUCUGCCCCCUGUCCUCUAGGACCUACACCUGGACCAGAUGAACUUCCAAAUAUUCACCUGUCCCCCAACACACAGAGAAACUACCCCUGCCUGGGCUACAGUUCCACACUAGGGGGACAAGUGUGGGGUCUGUGGCCCUCCCCAGCUGUUAGCCAGCUCAGCACAGGCUGUAACACCGAGUCUAGAACCCUGCAAGGGGCCCUGCAAGGGGUGGGUUCGAAGCUGACCCUGGCUGUGGAGAACUUGUAUGUGCCGUGUAUGUGGUUGUGAAUUUAUACUUUGGCAUGGCAGGGGGCAGGUUAGCUGAAGCAGGGCCUCUGAGCUAGGGCAAAACUGCCAGGGGUGGGGGGAUGAUGGGGCAAGAGGGACAGGCAGGCAAAGCCCAUGGCGGAGGGGCUCAGAUUUUGGAAAGAAACCCAGAGAAGAAGCAGCAAGGAGAGAGUGACAGGGCAAAAAAAAAAAAAAAGAAAAAAAAAAAAAAA